GACAACCUACCAUCCGAAUUUGAUAUUGUCAUACUUGGAACAGGUCUCACCGAGUCGGUCGUCGCAUCCGCCUCCUCCAGGGUGGGACAGUGGGUUUUUCAUCUAGACCGGAGGAAGUACUAUGCCGGGAACUGGGCCAGUUUUAACUUCAACGGCCUGCUGUCCUGGAUUGAGGAAUAUGAAAAGGAAACACAGAGCAAAGAGGCAGAGCCGGAAUGGAGGGACAAGCUGGAGACGGGAGAGGUGGCAGUGCCCAUCAGUGCAGACGACUCCUCCAUCACCAACCUCACGGUCUUUUGCUAUGCCAGGUAACAUGCCACCUCCACACAAGUAAAGCUCAAUUCCAAGAAUGUUACUUCAUACAUUAACUUCGAAUGUUAACAGUACCAUGGAUUAAUUGCAUUUGAACUGAGGACAGGUUCCAUUCUUACACAUCAAGAAACAAAGCAGUGUGAAUGUGUAGAUACGGCCAUAACAAUGCAGAAUAAAUAGACACAGCACAGAAAGACACUACAGGACAUUCAAGAAUUUGAAAAUGCCAGGCCUGCUUAAUGUUGGUGAGGAAGCUACUACCAAAAGCACAAGGGUUACGAAAAAUGACACAGGAUGGUCUGCAAUGAUGCCAGGUAUUACAAUAUUCCAUUUGUGUAAAUGUUUAAAUAUUUAAUAUUUAAUUUAAAUAUCAUAACAGGCUUUUUAUAACUUCUAUAACCCACUUUUUAUAGUGACAUACACGCCAUGAAUGUCUUGAUCAUCAGAGGUAACGGG
ensembl:lncRNA